UAUCUCGAAAAUUAUUGCAGCAUUACCUCAUAAGCCAAACAACUACAGUAGCACAAGCAAAAUGCCCAAAUUCACAAAUCAACUUCCAAUUUGCCAAGAUAAGAAAAAUAUUGGGGUGAUUGGGACUGAACGUGAUAGGGAGAACCCGUGUUCGAUCCCGCGCAACAACAAUUGGGAGGGGACUGAAACCUAACCACCCAGAACUCGCCCCGAAUCCGGAUUAUCCCUAAGGAAGAACCGGAUGUUAACACCAAAAAAAAAAAAAAACUUUAAACUUGAUUUACUAUUCACGCAAUAGGGAAGUACCCACCCUACCCUCAUUUUAGGCUCUGUUUUGAUUUUUAUCUUAUUCUUAAUAAUAAUGAGCGGACCAUUUUGCACUUCCACGUUCUCCUUUUCUCUCCCUUUUUCCUGGUUAGUUCCUUUUCUCCUUCUAGACUUUUGCUCUGCGCCCGCACCCCUUCUCCUCUACUCCAUGUUUUCCCUUUCGUCACUUUGGGUUUCUUCAUCACUUCCCUUCCCGCAACUCUGCUCUCAUCGUCCCGUGCGGAGGAGGUGGCAAAGAAGAGGAACAAGAUGAUAUGCUCGUACAAUCUCCUUUCGAAUCUCCUCCUUCCUCCGUCUUCCUCUAAAAUAUUUUUUAAUUUUGAUCUGGAUUUUUAUUUAUUUUUGGUAAAAGGGGAAAGAAGGGAAGAAAGUAGCUAUAUUUUUUGUUCCGAGUAUUGGGAGUUAGUUUAUUUGGAGGGUUUUCGGUGGGGUUUUGUACCAGACAUGGCUCUGGGAAAGAUCAUCUUCUCAUUGGUGCAGAAAGAGAUCCGGUCAGGAAUUUGCUAAGAUAGUAAUGUCCAUUUGAUGUGGCACCGUGCAAAUGACAGUUAUCCAAGAAGGAAAUCGG